GAUGAACGCUGGCGGCGUGCCUAAUACAUGCAAGUCGAACGGUCCCGGCCCUUCGGGGUUUGGGAUAGUGGCGAACGGGUGAGUAACGCGUGGGUGACCUGCCCCGAAGCGGGGGAUAACAGCCUGAAAGGGUUGCUAAUACCCCAUGUGCUGGGUUGGCUUAGCGGCCGGCCCAGGAAAGGCGAAAGCCACUUUGGGAGGGGCCUGCGUCCCAUCAGCUAGUUGGUGUGGUAACGGCGCACCAAGGCGAUGACGGGUAGGGGACCUGAGAGGGUGGCCCCCCACAAUGGAACUGAAACACGGUCCAUACACCUACGGGUGGCAGCAGUAGGGAAUAUUGCAAAAUGGGCGCAAGCCUGAUGCAGCAACGCCGCGUGGGCGAUGAAGGCCUUCGGGUCGUAAAGCCCUUUUGGGAGGGACGAGGAAGGACGGUACCUCCCGAAUAAGCCUCGGCUAACUACGUG
rnacentral:rRNA from 1 species